rnacentral:lncRNA from 7 species
CUAUGGGCUCCUGACUUUGCUAACAGAACAACCGCAUACCGUGUCUACCGGAUCCGAGAUGAUCUUCGCUAGGCUAUAAAAGCCAAGGCCACAGCCCCUCCUCGAAUCGCAACCCAAGAUCGAGGUUGUGCCCCCAUGGAACCCUGUGCCCCACCGUGAAUCAUAGUAGUGCCGCACCGCCGUUCCUAGGGUUCCAGAGACCAGCAAGACAAACCUCGCGUGGCACCUGCGUGCCGUCCUGCAGUAACGCGCCAGUAGAAGCUUGCUCCAUCGGCUCGCGUCGGUGACUUCUCCCUCUUCGCCGCGUUCGUCGAGCGAGGUCACGAGUCACCUGAUGAG